rnacentral:misc_RNA from 1 species
UCUCCGUAGGUGAACCUGCGGAGGGAUCAUUACAGAGUUCUCGCCCUCGCGGGUAGAUCUCCCACCCACUGUUAUCGUUACUGUGUUGCUUUGGCGGGCCGCCGGGCCCCGCUCGGCCGCCGGCUCCGGCUGGCGCGCGCCCGCCAGAGGCCCAGCAAACUCUGAAUGUUAGUGUCGUCUGAGUACUAUAUGAUAGUUAAAACUUUCAACAACGGAUCUCUUGGUUCUG